UACGUAGGGUGCAAGCGUUGUCCGGAAUUAUUGGGCGUAAAGAGCUCGUAGGCGGUCUGUCGCGUCGGCUGUGAAAUCCCGGGGCUCAACCCCGGGCCUGCAGUCGAUACGGGCAGACUAGAGUGCGGUAGGGGAGAUCGGAAUUCCUGGUGUAGCGGUGAAAUGCGCAGAUAUCAGGAGGAACACCGGUGGCGAAGGCGGAUCUCUGGGCCAUUACUGACGCUGAGGAGCGAAAGCGUGGGGAGCGAACAGG
rnacentral:rRNA from 1 species